rnacentral:piRNA from 1 species
GGAAAUAACUCCUUUGGUUACCCUGU